AGAAACUUGUACAAGGUCACAUAGAUCCCUUCAAUCGUUCUUAAAUUCUGUUUUCUCAUUUAAAAAAUCACAUUUCAUAUUAAAUCAUUUCUUGACAUUUUUCUGCAUAUACACAAUGACCUGUGACUGUACUUACGCCCUUACUCUCUCUUCACCACCCCCCACUGACCCUCCUUGCCCCCAAUUAGCCCUCCCUCCCAUCUUUCCAUGUUUUUUUCCAUUUAAUCAAGGUGGCUUGUAUUGUAUGGGUUGGAACACCGGGUAAGUAACCAGUGGUCAAAAGAAAAUGACUUCCAGUCUCCUAGCAACCACAAACCAUCAAUAGCUCUUCAGAGAAGUGUACCUCGCCCCUGCCCUGUCCAUGGUGAGUGUGGACUGAGUCUGUUCAGUCUUGUGUAGGUAUCCACAGUAUAACAAUAUUAAACUUGUAAAAAGAGAAGACAAUGCACAAAUAGGCUGCUAUCAACUGUAGAAAAAUACAGGUCUGUCAAAAGAAACAGGGGGUCGUGACAGAUGCAUGCCAGGCCGCAUGUGUUGGGUGGGAGAAUGUGGUCUUCAGAUGGGUAGUGGAGACACUGGUAACUUCAUAACAGGUUCAGUCUGCUAUCAUUUGCAAUUAGCUUAUAUUCACUUGGUGGUCUUGGUUGGUGAUGCAAACACCAAAGCUAGUCCUUUGCAGUGAAAGGUAGGAGCCAUCUAUGGUGCCAUGCCAGCGCACCAAAGCUGUAAUGCAAGGCUCCAGGAUGCACCUCACUUGGCUCUCCCGCCUUUCCACUGUGUCCUAAGGAUGGCUCUAAGGUGUGAAGGCCCCUCUCACCCAUCACAGCAUUUCUUCCUGUAGGUGUUUUUCUAAUGAGAGGCACUAACGACCCUGCCACAUGUCUGGCAAACACGUUUAUUGAACA
rnacentral:lncRNA from 1 species